AAUUUUAUUUAAAAAUUUGGCUUUGGUUUUAAAUUGGUGAGUUCUAUAAUUACAUAUGGUAGAAUAUACGUGGUGAGAGGUGAGCAAUUUUUAAAUUUUGAUUUUAACAAUCUUCUUUUUAAAUUGUUUGUUCUUUUAUUAAUGGGAAGUUAAUAUCUCAACUCCAAUGGGUAGUUUUAAAUUAAUACUGAAAUGUAGUUUUCGGUAUAGAACAGAAAAAAAGAUAAUAAAGUGCCAGCAUCUGCGGUUAAACUUUUUUUUUUAGCCAAUUAAUUCAUAGUAUAGAGAAAGUUAAAAUUAAAUUUUUUUUCUGGUAUUAGAAAAGUGAAAUUAGAUACGUGAGAAAAUUUUGGUAUUUAGAAACUUAUAUCUAAAAAGGCUGCACAAGAGACCGGGAUUAGAUACCCCGUUAUUUAUGUUUUACAAGAUACUAUGGGGACUACGAACAUUAAAUGUUUAAAACUUAAAAAGCUUGGCGGUAUUUUAUGUCCGUUUAGGGGAAUUUGGCGAUUAAACUGAUAAUCCUCGUAAUAUCUUACCUCUUUAAUUCUUUUCAUACCGCCGUUGUCAAUUUGUUUUGAAGAAUACAGAUACAAGUUAAAGUGAAUUUAGGUUCAAUGAAUUCAGGUAGACGUGAAGGUUACAAAGAGGGUUUAGCUGAAUUACAUUAUAUAAUAUUACGGAGAGAUUUUUGAAACAAAAUUUUGAAGGUGUACUUUAUAGUAAAAUUUUUUAGAGAGGAAAUUUGAAUUGUUGUAAUUAAAAUGUGUACAAAUCGCCCGGCACCCUCGUAUAACAAAAUUGAGGUAAGUCGUAACAUAGUAAUGAUACAAUAAUGUGUUGUUAAAUGG
rnacentral:ncRNA from 1 species